CAAAACCAAUCUUGAGAAUUUCUCUCUCUCUUCCUCACCCCUCACAAUCGACACUCUCUCUCUCCCUCAUCUCUCUCUUUCCUCCAUUAACACUAUUGUUGGAGACCUUCGGAGCUUCCUAAAAUCACACCAAACACACAAAUCCACCCCUAAACCUUACUCAAACACCUUCUAUCUCAUUGAAUUCAAGAAGAUCUUUGGAGAUUGAUUUCAAAGCUAGAAAGAGAAAGUUGGAUUUUGGUGUAAGCUUGGGCCGAGCGAGACGAAGAAGUAAGUCGCCUGUUUUCUUUCCGAAAUUAGCGAAGGACUACAGGCUAAGCAAGGAGCGAGAUUGGUCUGGUGCUGGUGGGGGAUUGUUAGAUGAUGUAUUUACUUUAUCGUAUUUUCUUUUUAGCGAUAAAGUCUUGAUGUGGAGUUACUUUGAUUUUGAAUCAAGCAAUUUACUCGCGGUUAUAUAUCUUCAUACAUAUAAUCAAUUCGCCUUUUGCUGCGAUACUCUGUAUAUUAUGAUUCCUUAUGAAAAAUGAGUUAUACCCGUUUUGUUUU